rnacentral:rRNA from 1 species
CCUACGGGAGGCAGCAGUAGGGAAUAUUGGGCAAUGGGCGGAAGCCUGACCCAGCCACGCCGCGUGCAGGAAGACGGCCCUCUGGGUUGUAAACUGCUUUUGACUGGGAAGAAAGAAGCCCAUGCGUGGGAAGUUGACGGUACCAGUCGAAUAAGCCACGGCUAACUACGUGCCAGCAGCCGCGGUAAUACGUAGGUGGCAAGCGUUAUCCGGAUUUAUUGGGUUUAAAGGGUGCGUAGGCGGUUCAAUAAGUCAGUGGUUAAAGGUAGCAGCUUAACUGUUUUACAUGCCACUGAUACUGUCGAACUUGAGUUGACAGAAGGCAGAUAGAAUUUCUGGUGUAGCGGUGAAAUGCUUAGAUACCAGAAGGAAUACCGAUUGCGAAGGCAGUCUGCUGCAGUCACACUGACGCUGAGGCACGAAAGUGCGGGGGAUCAAACAGGAUUAGAUACCCUGGUAGUCCGCACAGUAAACGAUGAUUACUAGAUGUUGGCCAUGCCAGUGUCCAAGGGAAACCGAUAAGUAAUCCACCUGGGGAGUACGCCGGCAACGGUGAAACUCAAAGGAAAUUGACGG